UACCGUCAACACGUUCGUAAAUCUCAGCACAAAGAAACCCAAAACCAACCGAAGAAGAAGAAGAAGAGGAGCAACAGAGAGAAAGCCAUGGAUUUAUGGCUCAAAGCUCGAAGCUUCGCGGAAGAAGCCGCGAAGCGAUCCCAAGAACUGACCAUUGGAACCACUAAAAUCUCCGAUAUCGUCUCCGAAACGGCGAAGAGAUCAAAGGAGAUUGCCUCAGAAACGGCUAAGAGAUCUAAGGAGAUUGCCUCGGAAACGGCAAAGCGAUCAAAAGAAAUUGCCGUGGAGGCUUCAAAGAGAGCCGACCAGAUCAAGAUUGAAGCCCUUAAAGGAGCCGACAAGAUCAAGUUGCUCGCGGAUGGGAUCUCUCCGUCCGUUCGUUCCUCGCCGGAGACAGAGGCUUCGGAUCUGGAGAAGUUCGGUGUUACUGAUGAGUUGAGGGAGUUCGUGAAGGGAAUUACUAUGAAUACAUUUCAGGAUUUCCCUUUGGAAGAUGAUACAGAGAUGUCUGAUGUGCCAACAGUCUCAAAUGUUCGGCAGGAUCUUACACAAUGGCAAGAAAGGCAUGCCAAUCUUGUUCUCUCAACAGUCAAGGAAGUUUCAAUGCUAAGAUAUGAGUUAUGCCCACGUUUUAUGAAAGAAAGGAAGUUCUGGAGGAUAUAUUUCAUAUUAGUGAACAGUCAUGUGGCUCCGUAUGAGAAGCAGUACAUGGAGGAUGUAAAGCUAAAGUCUGCAGAAGAAGAAAAAGAAGAUAAUGUGAAGGAAAUUCCAAAAGCUGGAACAACUGUUAAAGUAGAGGCAAAGGAAUCAAACAAGCAAAGCAGAACUUCAACCUCAUCUGCUACAGAACAGGACUUGGAUGUAUUUCUCCUGGGAGAUCUUGGAGACAGUGAUGAGGGCCCAGAUGAUGGUGAUGAAGGCUUUGACGACGAUUUUGACAAGAUAGUGAAUAGUUCGGAUGACGAAAAGGAGAAAUUGUAAAAGUAUGCAACUUAAUAUGUUAAGAUCUUUUCUACGUAUCCGAUAAAGGUGAUGAAGGAGAAAAGGACAAUGCAAUUUAACAGACAAUGGGCGUGGCAUUAUUUUAAUGUAAAGCAACAUAUUUAUGACAGAACUCUCUCUGUUAAGUGUAAUCUUCAUUCAAUUUCAGGAUGUGCAUUUUACAUGUCGAGAAAAUUGUUUGACGGUAGUCUAAUUGAGUGUUUAUCGAAGGGAUUGCAAUGA